rnacentral:rRNA from 1 species
CCUACGGGCGGCUGCAGUGGGGAAUAUUGCACAAUGGGGGAAACCCUGAUGCAGCGACGCCGCGUGAGUGAAGAAGUAUUUCGGUACGUAAAGCUCUAUCAGCAGGGAAGAAAAUGACGGUACCUGACUAAGAAGCCCCGGCUAACUACGUGCCAGCAGCCGCGGUAAUACGUAGGGGGCAAGCGUUAUCCGGAUUUACUGGGGGUAAAGGGAGCGUAGACGGCAGCGCAAGUCUGGAGUGAAAUCCCAUGGCUUAACCAUGGAACUGCUGUGGAAACUGUGCAGCUAGAGUGCAGGAGAGGUAAGCGGAAUGCCUAGUGUAGCGGUGAAAUGCGUAGAUAUUAGGAGGAACACCAGUGGCGAAGGCGGCUUACUGGACUGUAACUGACGUUGAGGCUCGAAAGCGUGGGGAGCAAACAGGAUUAGAUACCCUGGUAGUC